UGGCAUACAGAAGCUGUGUUCAGAGAUGGCCAAGGUUGUACCUUGUACUGGCAGCUGAAUUUGGUAGUGUAAGAGUCACCCAGGUGGUGCUGAUUUUGAAGGCACGGGACUGGGGGUCAUUGAGAGCAGCUGAGACUUGGCAUCAUGUGACAGAACUGUAGUCUCUGAAGAGAGUGCAGGAGAGGCUAUUGGUGAAAGUGUAGCCCAGGUGAAGCAGAUAGCCACAUUGCUUUGGAGAUGCCAGCACCAUGGGAUGGCCACUAAGAACAGCAGCAAUGGAGUUGAGGAGCCAGCUUGAGCCUAGAAGACAAGCUGUGUGUUCUGCAAAGGGCAGAACCAGAGAAGAGACCUAAGCCCUUUGGAGGAGCCCAGAAGAUAAUCUCAUGACUGCUGCUACUCCAGGCAUGACAUCAGCAUUCCAAAGGAAGAAAGAAGAACCGGCAAGAAGGCAUGAGUCCAUUUAUUACUUUUUAUAACUUUUCCUGUAAGAGUCACCCAGUGAUUCAUCUGUUGACUUCGUCUAUUGGCUACAACAUGCCACAUGACUUCUAGCCACAAACACAUCUGGGAAGACCCUCAAGUGUAGUUCCCUGCCAAACAAUAGGCUCUGAAGUUGGUGCCCAGCCACAGCCUCUGAGACAUGAGGAGUAACAACAUGCCACUAUGGAAACCAGUAUGGGAGUUCCUCAAAACACUAAAAGUAGAGCUGACAUAAGAUCCACCUAUACCCCUCUGGGGUGUGUAAUCAAAAGGUUCCAUACUCUCUGAGAGAGGAACCUACACACCCAUGUUCGCUGCAGCUCCAUCACAAUGGCUAUGAAAUGGAAUCAGCCUGAAUGUCUGUCAACAGAUGAGUGGAUAAUGAGAAUAUGGUACAUACACACAAUGGAAUUUCAGUCAGCUGUAAAAAGUGAAAUUAUGUAAUUUGAAGGAAAUGAUAGAUCUGGGAAAAAUUAUACUGAAUGAGGCAAGCCAGACCCAGAAAGACAAAUGUUGUAUAUUCUCUCUUAUAUCUGUGGAUCCCAGCUUCAAAUUUUUCGAGUUCUGUAUUUAAAUAAGAGUGUCUAUAUAUGUCAGGAGGUAAGAAGAGGAAUCCUGUGGGGGAGUACUAGAACAUGGGAUAUGACGAGGUAGGGCAUGAAGAGGUUUAAGUGGUAUUGGCAUGAGGAAGUAUGGAAGUAGGGACAGUUAACAAACAUUAACAAACAUUAAGGAUGCAUGAAAAAGCUGUAGAGAAGAAAACUACUUUAUAAACUAAAACAAUAUAACCUAAACCUUAAAUGAUAGUGAAAUAAUAAAAGAGCCUGGAAUGGAGAUACCUUUCAUGAGUUACUUUCAAAAAUUAUAGGCUUGUAACUAAAAUUCUACUAACAGGAAUGGGAUACCUCCCUAUGAAUUGUUGACUGAGAGGUGCUAGAGGUCCCCAAAAGAAUACUGGCCAUUUCUGUCACUCUUAGUUGUCCAAAGAGCUAACUGGUAAGACCCUGUUGCUGAAGACAUUGCACACGUUGGGUAUAGGACACAGUGAAAUCAAGUUGGAAGAGUUUGGGAAACGCUCCCUCUGCUGGUAGUGUUUGUAGUGGCACAAGGUAUGAUGUAGGCUGCUGAGGAGGAAAACUUAGCAGUCUCAUCUAGAUGUAGACCACGCUUGGAGGAGGAAAACUCAGCAGUCUCAUCUAGCUGUAGACCAUGCUUGGAGGAGGAAAACUCAGCAGUCUCAUCUAGCUGUAGACCAUGCUUGGAGGAGGAAAACUCAGCAGUCUCAUAUAGAUGUAGACUACGCUUGGAGGAGGAAAACUCAGCAGUCUCAUAUAGAUGUAGACCAUGCUUGGUACAAUACUGACCUGGCAAACAUAUGUGCCUGCUGGUGCAAUGGUGGCAUGACUGUGUUGGAGUAACCAACUGAUUUGUUAUUGGAUUGGAUGCUAACUCAUGGGAGGGAAUGCACAUCUCUUACUAUAAACUAGAUCAAAAUUCUAUGGUCAGGGUGGUUAUGGCUUCAAGGGGUGGUGGGGAUGAUUUACUACCAUUGUUUCUCUAAAUAGUCAUGUUAUAAAACUUCUAUUUAAAUGCUUAUACCCACAGACUAGUGACACUCUAUGCCUUGAGUGAUGGUUAAUACAGAUUUGUCAAAAUGAUGAGAA